rnacentral:rRNA from 1 species
UACGUAGGGUGCAAGCGUUGUCCGGAAUUAUUGGGCGUAAAGAGCUCGUAGGCGGUCUGUCACGUCGGCUGUGAAAACCCGAGGCUCAACCUCGGGCCUGCAGUCGAUACGGGCAAACUAGAGUACUGCAGGGGAGACUGGAAUUCCUGGUGUAGCGGUGAAAUGCGCAGAUAUCAGGAGGAACACCGGUGGCGAAGGCGGGUCUCUGGGCAGUAACUGACGCUGGAGGAG